rnacentral:lncRNA from 1 species
AGCCUGUGGCAGUACUGGUACUUGGAGUACAGCUUAUGCCAUAUAUGGUGCCCCAUGUAUGGACUAUGUCAAUAAUGGUGACUGGUAUACAGCCCGUGCCUACCCCUAUGCCACAUGUGCAGCCUAUGGCAGUCAUUGUGCUUUGGGCACAGCCCAUGCCCACUCCUGUGCCACAUGUGCAGCCUAUGGCAGUUAUUGUGCUUUGGGCACACACCAUGCACAUUCCUGUGCCACAUGCACAGCGUAUGCCAAUCAGUAGACCCUGGGCACAGCCCAUGCCCGCUCCUGUGCCACAUGCGCAGCCUAUGGCAGUCAUUGUGCUUUGGGCACAGUCUAUGCCCAUUUCUGUGCCACGUGCACAGUGUAUGCCAAUCAGUAGGCCCUGGGCACAGCCCAUGCCCACUCCUGUGCUACAUGUGCAGCCUAUGGCAGUUAUUGUGCUUUGGGCACAACCCAUGCCCAUUCCUGUGCCACAUGCACAGCGUAUGCCAAUCAGUAGACCCUGGGCACAGCCCAUGCCCACUCCUGUGCCACAUGCACAGCCUAUGGCAGUCAUUGUGCUUUGGGCACAGUCUAUGCCCAUUCCUGUGCCACAUGCACAGCAUAUGCCAAUCAGUAGGCCCUGGGCACAGCCCAUGCCCACUCCUGUGCCACAUGUGCAGUCUAUGGCAGUCAUUGUGCUUUGGGCACAGCCCAUUCCUGUUCCCAAUUUACAGCCUGUUCUAAUCAGUAGGCCCUGGGCACAGCCUAUGCCCAUUCCUGUGCCCCAUGUACAGCAUAUGCCAGUCACUGUCCCAUGGGCACAACCUGUACCAGCUAAGAUACCUAGCAUACCACAUAUGCCAAUGCCUACCGCACAGCCUAUGCCAGUCAGGGUGGCUUGUGUACAGCCCAUACCUCUUACAGUGCCCCGGGUGCAGUCUAUGCCAUAUUCAGUGAGCAAUAUGCAGCCUGUGCCAGUUACAAUGCCCCAUGUACAAUCAAUGCGAGUUACAGUGCCUCAUGCAUGGCCUAUGCCAGCUACAAUACCCCAUGAACAACCUGUGCCAGUUACAAUGCCCCAUGUACAAUCAAUGCGAGCUACAGUACCUCAUGUACGGCCUAUGCCAGCUACAAUACCCCACGUACAACCUGUGCCAGUUACAAUGCCCCAUGUACAAUCUAUGCGAGUUACAGUACCUCAUGCACGGCCUAUGCCAGCUACAAUACAACCUGUACAACCUGUGCCAGUUAUGAUGCCCUGUGCACAGCCUAUGCCUGUUUCAGUGUCCAAUGUACAGCCCGUGUCAGAGCUGGUGCCCCACCACGACCUCUGCCUACGUGACGGAUUUACAGGGCUGCAGCUGCAGGAGCUGGAACAGGUUUUCCAGAGAAACCACUAUCUCCGUGCUGAAGAAGGGUAAGCACAUAGUGUGGCGUCAGUGCUUUAAGGAGGGAGCAAGCUGGUACAGAGAGGCCUCUG